rnacentral:rRNA from 1 species
UACGGAGGGGGCAAGCGUUGUUCGGAAUUACUGGGCGUAAAGGGCGCGUAGGCGGCCUGUUAAGUCGAACGUGAAAUCCCCGGGCUCAACCCGGGAACUGCGUCCGAUCUGGCAGGCUUGAAUCCGGGAGAGGGAUGCGGAAUUCCAGGUGUAGCGGUGAAAUGCGUAGAUAUCUGGAGGAACACCGGUGGCGAAGGCGCAUCCUGGACCGGCAUUGACGCUGAGGCGCGAAAGCCAGGGGAGCAAACGGG